UCAACAACCCAUUCGCCCGAGAAUUACCAGCAUAAGCUAAAAACUCAAAAGACUUGACGGUGCUCUACCCUGCCUAGAGGAGCCUGUCCUAUAAUCGAUAUUCCACGAUACACCCAACCACUACUAGCAUCUCAGUCUAUAUACCGCCGUCGAAAGUAUAUCCCUCAAAGGCCCCAUAAUUAUCUCAAUAGCCCCCCGCUGGAACGUCAGGCCAAGGCAUAGCUAACGUAGUGGAAGAGAUGGGCUACAUUUUCUGAAACCAGAACAUACGAAAAAUGGCAUGAAAAUUGCUAUUUAAAGGUGGAUUUAGCAGUAAGAUGAAGA
rnacentral:rRNA from 1 species